rnacentral:lncRNA from 1 species
AACCGUGAGCCCAAGGACGCUAGAGUGGAUAAUACCUUAUAAGAGUAUGAAUCGUGACAAUCAGAUUGAUCUGAGACGUCGAAUGAGUGAAUGUCCGAAUCUCGAAAUUAUAUCGAUUUGAAGCUUAAGUCUCGACCCGUGACACUAACACCUAUAUAAUUUCAUCUACAUACUAUUUUUUUGUGCAAUACGGACAAAAAGAGAAUUACUUAUUUUGUUAAAAAUGUUUGCGGUAUUUCAAGAAUAAAUGGUAAAAUUUAAAAAAAAAAAAAACUGAAGAAAGAUAAAGAUACUUCUGAUAUUAACAUGAAAAAUGAAAAAAAAAAAAAAGGAAAAGAAAGAGAACAAAAGAGGAAGAAGAAAGAGUUUUUCUCAAUGUUGAGGACAAUAAAGGGUUUUUCUGGCAUUGACUAAAUUAUUAAAAAAAAAAAAAAAGAAAAGAUGGAAGGUUUGGAAGAAGGGUGAACAAAUAUGGAAAAACAAAGUAGAGAAUGAAGGGAGGAAAAUAGGGAAACAUGCAGAUUUUUUUUUUUUAAUUUUGAUUAUAAUAUAUGUGUGAGGUUUGGUAUGUUUGGGAUUCUUUUGAAAUUGAUUGUGCCAUUGGUUUGGGGAGAAACAUAAAAGAUAAGUAAGUUUUUUUAAAAAUUUCUCCUAAAAAACCUUUCGUUUUCUCUCAAAUUUACCUUAUGUAUUUCUUUGUAAUUGUUUAUAGUUGGGUUUGAUUUUUUUUUUUAGAUCAAUAAUCAGUUCGAUUUUGAUUAGUUUAUACUUAAAAUUUUUUCUGAUUUUGAGUUUUUGCUUUUGAUUUUGUAUUUUUAGACAUUUUAUAUUUUGUCUAAGCAGCUAAGAUAAUGUUGAGAAAGUCUACUAUUGGCUCACGGGUUCAGAAUUGAAAAGCAAGGAAGGAUUUUUUUUUCAUUUCUUUAAAUAGAAAGUUUUUUUAUUUUUAAAUUAUUUUUUAAAACUAUUUUAAUAUCUUCGAGAAUCUUCUACAUUAAUUUUUUUUUUCAUUCUUAUCUCUUUGAAGACGUGCAUUGUUGAUUGGAUGUGAAGGCUUUUAUCGGAUAAGAUUGAUUUUCAGGAAGUAGAAAAAGAAGGAUAGAUACGAGUUUUUUAUAUUAAUAAUUGGUUAUUUCAAUAGAUUAAAUUUAUUUU